UACAGGGGGGGGCAAGCGUUGUUCGGAAUUACUGGGCGUAAAGGGCCAGUAGGCGGCCAACUAAGUCCGACGUGAAAUCCCCAGGCUUAACCUGGGAACUGCGUCGGAUACUGGAUGGCUUGAAUUCGGGAGAGGGAUGCAGAAUUCCAGGUGUAGCGGUGAAAUGCGUAGAUAUCGGUGAGGAAUACCGAUGGCGAAGGCG
rnacentral:rRNA from 1 species